AUUGAACGCUGGCGGAAUGCUUUACACAUGCAAGUCGAACGGCAGCACGGACUUCGGUCUGGUGGCGAGUGGCGAACGGGUGAGUAAUUUAUCGGAACGUGCCCAGUAGCGGGGGAUAACGCAGCGAAAGCUGUGCUAAUACCGCAUACGCACUACGGUGGAAAGAGGGGGAUCGCAAGACCUCUCACUAUUGGAGCGGCCGAUAUCAGAUUAGCUUGUUGGCGGGGUAAAAGCCCACCAAGGCGACGAUCUGUAGCUGGUUUGAGAGAACGACCAGCCACACUGGGACUGAGACACGGCCCAGACUCCUACGGGAGGCAGCAGUGGGGAAUUUUGGACAAUGGGCGCAAGCCUGAUCCAGCCAUGCCGCGUGCGGGAAGAAGGCCUUCGGGUUGUAAACCGCUUUUGUUCGGGAAGAAAUUGACUGGGCUAAUACCCUGGUCGGAUGACGGUACCGGAAGAAUAAGCACCGGCUAACUACGUGCCAGCCGCCGCAGUAA
rnacentral:rRNA from 1 species